GGAGAGGUCGCAUAGUGGCCUAGUGCGCGUGCCUGGAGUGCACGUAGACCCGUAAGGGUCUCGAGGGUUCAAAUCCCUCCCUCUCCG
rnacentral:tRNA from 1 species